rnacentral:rRNA from 1 species
ACGGGAGGCAGCAGUGGGGAAUAUUGCACAAUGGGGGAAACCCUGAUGCAGUGACGCCACGUGAGUGAUGAAGUAUUUCGGUAUGUAAAGCUCUAUCAGCAGGGAAGAUAAUGACGGUACCUGACUAAGAAGCACCGGCUAAAUACGUGCCAGCAGCCGCGGUAAUACGUAUGGUGCAAGCGUUAUCCGGAUUUACUGGGUGUAAAGGGAGUGUAGGCGGCGAAGCAAGUCAGAUGUGAAAGCCCGGGGCUCAACUCCGGGACUGCAUUUGAAACUGUUUUGCUAGAGUAUCGGAGAGGUCAGUGGAAUUCCUAGUGUAGCGGUGAAAUGCGUAGAUAUUAGGAAGAACACCGGUGGCGAAGGCGGCUGACUGGACGAUAACUGACGCUGAGGCUCGAAAGCGUGGGGAGCAAACAGGAUUAGAUACCCUGGUA